rnacentral:rRNA from 1 species
UGGGGAAUAUUGGACAAUGGGCGCAAGCCUGAUCCAGCCAUGCCGCGUGAGUGAUGAAGGCCCUAGGGUUGUAAAGCUCUUUCACCGUUGAAGAUAAUGACGGUAACCGGAGAAGAAGCCCCGGCUAACUUCGUGCCAGCAGCCGCGGUAAUACGAAGGGGGCUAGCGUUGUUCGGAUUUACUGGGCGUAAAGCGCACGUAGGCGGACUUUUAAGUCAGGGGUGAAAUCCCGGGGCUCAACCCCGGAACUGCCUUUGAUACUGGAAGUCUUGAGUAUGGUAGAGGUGAGUGGAAUUCCGAGUGUAGAGGUGAAAUUCGUAGAUAUUCGGAGGAACACCAGUGGCGAAGGCGGCUCACUGGACCAUUACUGACGCUGAGGUGCGAAAGCGUGGGGAGCAAACAGG